AGAGUUUGAUCCUGGCUCAGGAUGAACGCUAGCUACAGGCUUAACACAUGCAAGUCGAGGGGCAGCAUAAAACUAGCUUGCUAGUUUUGAUGGCGACCGGCGCACGGGUGAGUAACGCGUAUCCGACCUGCCCAUGACUCGGGCACAGCCGCUCGAAAGAGCGAUUGAUUCCCGAUAUGUCCAUGAAGUAGAUUCAUGGAUGAAAGAUUCAUCGGUCAUGGAUGGGGAUGCGUAGGAUUAGGUAGUAGGCGGGGUAACGGCCCACCUAGCCGACGAUCCUUAGGGGUUCUGAGAGGAAGGUCCCCACACUGGUACUGAGACACGGACCAGACUCCUACGGGAGGCAGCAGUGAGGAAUAUUGGUCAAUGGGCGGAAGCCUGAACCAGCCAAGUAGCGUGAAGGAUUACUGCCCUACGGGUUUUAAACUUCUUUUAUGCGAGAGUAAUGUGCUCCACGUGUGGGGUAUUGCAAGUAUCGCAUGAAUAAGCAUCGGCUAACUCCGUGCCAGCAGCCGCGGUAAUACGGAGGAUGCGAGCGUUAUCCGGAUUUAUUGGGUUUAAAGGGAGCGUAGGCGGGUCAUUAAGUCAGUCGUCAAAGCCUGUGGCUCAACCACAGCCCGCGAUUGAUACUGGUGACCUUGAGUGCGGAUGAGGUGGAUGGAAUUCGUGGUGUAGCGGUGAAAUGCUUAGAUAUCACGAAGAACUCCGAUUGCGAAGGCAGUCCACUGGGCCGCAACUGACGCUGAAGCUCGAAAGUGCGGGUAUCAAACAGGAUUAGAUACCCUGGUAGUCCACGCUGUAAACGAUGAUGACUAACCGUCGGCGAUACACAGUCGGUGGCCAAGCGAAAGCGAUAAGUCAUCCACCUGGGGAGUACGACCGCAAGGUUGAAACUCAAAGGAAUUGACGGGGGCCCGCACAAGCGGAGGAACAUGUGGUUUAAUUCGAUGAUACGCGAGGAACCUUACCCGGGCUCGAACGGCAGAUGAAUUGAGUAGAGAUAUUCAAGUCUUCGGACAUCUGUCGAGGUGCUGCAUGGUUGUCGUCAGCUCGUGCUGUGAAGUGUCGGCUUAAGUGCCAUAACGAGCGCAACCCUUGCCGUUAGUUGCCAUCAGGUUAAGCUGGGGACUCUAGCGGGACUGCCACCGCAAGGUGUGAGGAAGGGGGGGAUGACGUCAAAUCAGCACGGCCCUUACGUCCGGGGCUACACACGUGUUACAAUGGGGGGUACAGAAGGCCGCUACCCGGCGACGGGGCGCCAAUCCCUAAAACCCCUCUCAGUUCGGACUGGAGUCUGCAACCCGACUCCACGAAGCUGGAUUCGCUGGUAAUCGCGCAUCAGCCAUGGCGCGGUGAAUACGUUCCCGGGCCUUGCACUCACCGCCCGUCA
rnacentral:rRNA from 1 species